UACGGGGGGGGGCAAGCGUUGUUCGGAAUUACUGGGCGUAAAGGGCUCGUAGGCGGCCAACUAAGUCGGAUGUGAAAUCCCCAGGCUUAACCUGGGAAUGCAUCCGAUACUGGAUGGCUUGAAUCCGGGAGAGGGAUGCAGAAUUCCAGGUGUAGCGGUGAAAUGCGUAGAUAUCUGGAGGAAUACCGGUGGCGAAGGCAGCCAUCUGGACCGACACUGACGCUGAGGCGCGAAAGCGUGGGGAGCAAACAGGGAU
rnacentral:rRNA from 1 species